GUUCCUAUAGCUCAAAUAGGUAGAGCACCACCUUGCAUAGGUGGAGGUUGCAGGUUCAAGUCCUGCUAGGAACUCCA
rnacentral:tRNA from 1 species